UCCUCUCCUGAGCUGAGAGCCUGGGAAGUGCCCUUGCUGGACCUGCUAGUCCCUCGUAGGACCGAGAGCAGAGCAGCCAUCUUCCCAGGCUUGGCUCUGAAAGACCUGGUCUCGCCUGGCCAGUCUCCUUCUCUCCUCUCUCACCCUGCUCCUCUGACUUGGCCCCCAUCUUCCCCUUGAGGCCUGGUCUUCACGUUUUAUUACUGUUUUGGACUUGUCCCUGAAGGCAAGUCACUAGACAGAUGCUCUUUUGUGGACUGGUGGGUCCCGUGGCUGGCCCGUGGCCCCUCAGCCCUGGAUGCUGCUCAGGGGCUUGGACGUGUGAGGAGAAGGUGCAGUGACCCCGGACCACAGUGUCCUCAUUUCAUGGUGGCAGCGUCUGGCACGUCCAGCUCGCUCCUGGCAAGGCAGUGGGGAGUGGCGACAAGGAGGUCUGUCCAUCGCAGAGCACAUCUUACGACAGGAUGGGGACACUACUACUGGAACUCUGAGGAGUUCCAGGGGGCACUGAGGCCCCUUGUCCUGUGCCUCCCAUGGGACCAUCCCACGGUGAAGGGUGGGACAAGUGUGGGUGCAGGUUCCAGAGCCUGAGAACCCAGCAGUGAGGUCACUCACUAAACCACCAGGCGGGGUGGGAGGGGUGCCCCCAGCAGAACAGGGGGCAGCAGCCCGUGGGAGUGCCACUGAGCGGGAGAGCCCCUAGGAACAGGACGGACCUCCUUGCCGCUUUGGUGUGGCACUGAAAUGGCACCUUCUCGUGGAACUUUAAGAUAAAUCGUCAUUCUCACAUGGAAAGAAAGUAACAAGGGAGAUGUUACUUUGUGUUAGUUAAAGAGACUUUUUACAAGACCUUGGAGACACUUUGGGAGAUGGUGACACAAUGGCAUGUUGGCGCCAGAUGUGUCAAAGGAUCCAGGUGAGGGCG
rnacentral:lncRNA from 1 species